rnacentral:pre_miRNA from 1 species
CGGGGGAGGCCGGAUCCUGGGCUGUGUCCCGGCGCCCUGUGCUCCCCGACCUGCGCUGUUGGGUUCCCGCUCCCGGCCGCGCAGCCCUCC